rnacentral:rRNA from 1 species
AUUGAACGCUGGCGGCAGGCUUAACACAUGCAAGUCGAACGAUGAUUAUCUAGCUUGCUAGAUAUGAUUAGUGGCGGACGGGUGAGUAACAUUUAGGAAUCUGCCUAGUAGUGGGGGAUAGCUCGGGGAAACUCGAAUUAAUACCGCAUACGACCUACGGGUGAAAGGGGGCGCAAGCUCUUGCUAUUAGAUGAGCCUAAAUCAGAUUAGCUAGUUGGUGGGGUAAAGGCCCACCAAGGCGACGAUCUGUAACUGGUCUGAGAGGAUGAUCAGUCACACCGGAACUGAGACACGGUCCGGACUCCUACGGGAGGCAGCAGUGGGGAAUAUUGGACAAUGGGGGCAACCCUGAUCCAGCCAUGCCGCGUGUGUGAAGAAGGCCUUUUGGUUGUAAAGCACUUUAAGCAGGGAGGAGAGGCUAAUGGUUAAUACCCAUUAGAUUAGACGUUACCUGCAGAAUAAGCACCGGCUAACUCUGUGCCAGCAGCCGCGGUAAUACAGAGGGUGCGAGCGUUAAUCGGAAUUACUGGGCGUAAAGCGAGUGUAGGUGGCUCAUUAAGUCACAUGUGAAAUCCCCGGGCUUAACCUGGGAACUGCAUGUGAUACUGGUGGUGCUAGAAUAUGUGAGAGGGAAGUAGAAUUCCAGGUGUAGCGGUGAAAUGCGUAGAGAUCUGGAGGAAUACCGAUGGCGAAGGCAGCUUCCUGGCAUAAUAUUGACACUGAGAUUCGAAAGCGUGGGUAGCAAACAGGAUUAGAUACCCUGGUAGUCCACGCCGUAAACGAUGUCUACUAGCCGUUGGGGUCCUUGAGACUUUAGUGGCGCAGUUAACGCGAUAAGUAGACCGCCUGGGGAGUACGGCCGCAAGGUUAAAACUCAAAUGAAUUGACGGGGGCCCGCACAAGCGGUGGAGCAUGUGGUUUAAUUCGAUGCAACGCGAAGAACCUUACCCGGUCUUGACAUAGUGAGAAUCUUUCAGAGAUGAGAGAGUGCCUUCGGGAAUUCACAUACAGGUGCUGCAUGGCUGUCGUCAGCUCGUGUCGUGAGAUGUUGGGUUAAGUCCCGCAACGAGCGCAACCCUUUUCCUUAUUUGCCAGCGGGUUAAGCCGGGAACUUUAAGGAUACUGCCAGUGACAAACUGGAGGAAGGCGGGGACGACGUCAAGUCAUCAUGGCCCUUACGACCAGGGCUACACACGUGCUACAAUGGUAGGUACAGAGGGUUGCUACACAGCGAUGUGAUGCUAAUCUCAAAAAGCCUAUCGUAGUCCGGAUUGGAGUCUGCAACUCGACUCCAUGAAGUCGGAAUCGCUAGUAAUCGCAGAUCAGAAUGCUGCGGUGAAUACGUUCCCGGGCCU